rnacentral:rRNA from 1 species
GAUGAACGCUGGCGGCGUGCCUAAUACAUGCAAGUCGAGCGAACAGACGAGGAGCUUGCUCCUCUGACGUUAGCGGCGGACGGGUGAGUAACACGUGGAUAACCUACCUAUAAGACUGGGAUAACUUCGGGAAACCGGAGCUAAUACCGGAUAAUAUAUUGAACCGCAUGGUUCAAUAGUGAAAGACGGUUUUGCUGUCACUUAUAGAUGGAUCCGCGCCGCAUUAGCUAGUUGGUAAGGUAACGGCUUACCAAGGCAACGAUGCGUAGCCGACCUGAGAGGGUGAUCGGCCACACUGGAACUGAGACACGGUCCAGACUCCUACGAGAGGCAGAAGUAGGGAAUCUUCCGCAAUGGGCGAAAGCCUGACGGAGCAACGCAGCGUGAGUGAUGAAGGUCUUCGGAUCGUAAAACUCUGUUAUUAGGGAAGAACAAAUGUGUAAGUAACUAUGCACGUCUUGACGGUACCUAAUCAGAAAGCCACGGCUAACUACGUG